UGCCUGUGAUGUUAAUAAAUUUGUCCGUACCAUCUGAGAAUACUUUCUCUGAUGCAUUCAUUCUAAUUCUAUUUUCUGAGGCAA
rfam:Gossypium raimondii Chr13_contig_859, whole genome shotgun sequence.